rnacentral:rRNA from 1 species
AUGCCACGAUUGUAUGAACAAGCUACCAACAGGUAUUGCGAUGGAGAUAGUUACUAUGGGCUGCUGGAGUAUCUGGAUGACCAAAAUGAUAAGAUAUUCAGAAGGGCACCCCCACAUUAUGAUUCAUGGAAAUUUUAUCUCAAAGAGGAACUUGAAGUAAGAUCUCGAAGAGAAGGAAGAGAUCUUCAAAAAGUAGGUUUUUAUGAUCCGAUAAAGAAUCAAACUUGUUUAAAUGUUCCAGCUAUUUCCUAUUUUCUUGAAAAGGGUGCUCAACCGACAAGAACUAUUUAUGAUAUUUUAAGAAAGGCGGAAUUCUUUAAAGAAAAAGAAAGAAAGAAUAAAAGCAAAGCAAGAGAAGGCUGA